rnacentral:rRNA from 1 species
UGGGGAAUAUUGGACAAUGGGCGAAAGCCUGAUCCAGCCAUGCCGCGUGGGUGAAGAAGGUCUUCGGAUUGUAAAGCACUUUAAGUUGGGAGGAAGGGCAUUAACCUAAUACGUUAGUGUUUUGACGUUACCGACAGAAUAAGCACCGGCUAACUCUGUGCCAGCAGCCGCGGUAAUACAGAGGGUGCAAGCGUUAAUCGGACUUACUGGGCGUAAAGCGCGCGUAGGUGGUUUGUUAAGUUGGAUGUGAAAUCGCCGGGCUCAACCUGGGAACUGCAGUCAAAACUGACUGACUAGAGUAUUGUAGAGGGUGGUGGAAUUUCCUGUGUAGCGGUGAAAUGCGUAGAUAUAGGAAGGAACACCAGUGGAGAAGGCGACCACCUGGACUAAUACUGACACUGAGGUGCGAAAGCGUGGGGAGCAAACA